UAGAGAAAUAACUGUUUACGUAUUUAAGGUCAACAAAUUAUAUUGACUGAAGUUCAUAGCUCAACUAUGCUGAGAUCCCAUGUGGGUGGAGAGACCUAAGAUGAAGAUGAUUCUGGCCCAGCAUGAACACUGACAUCACCUGUUGGGCCAAUGUAAGCAUUUCAAUUAGGAACAAAUAACUUCAAACGGCCGGUCUGGCUUUUCUGCUCUACUAAAGGAUACCAGGCAGUAGCAGUGAUAUCCUUAAAGAGUGACCUCUAUAAAGGAUUUUUUCCCACAGAAAACAAAAAUGGAGACAAGACCAAAAGGGGGGGAAAAGGCAAAAGAAUCCAUUUGUGGAAACUGGAUAAGAGAACAAGUGGGAAGAAAAAAGUCGGUGUCAGGAGAAAGUCCAAGAAACCAGGCGGGCAGCGA